GUGCUUGCUUCCACAGCACAUAUACUAAAAUUGGAGUGAUACAGAGAAGAUUAGCAUGGACCUUGUGCAGGGAUGACACACAAAUUCAUGAAGUUUUCUAUUAAAAA